rnacentral:rRNA from 1 species
UACGUAGGGUGCAAGCGUUGUCCGGAAUUAUUGGGCGUAAAGAGCUCGUAGGCGGGUUUGUCGCGUCUGCUGUGAAAACCCGAGGCUCAACCUCGGGCCUGCAGUGGGUACGGGCAGACUAGAGUGCGGUAGGGGAGAUUGGAAUUCCUGGUGUAGCGGUGGAAUGCGCAGAUAUCGGGAAGAACACCCGUGGCGAAGGCGGCUCUCUGGGACGGUACUGACGCUGAGACGCGAAAGCGUGGGGAGCGAACAGG